rnacentral:tRNA from 1 species
GAGAAAUUAGUUAAUUAUAAUAACCUAAGAAUGUCAAACUUAAAUUACCAAAAGGUAUUUCUCA